ACGCUCGACACCUACGGGAAGCAGCAGUAGGGAAUCUUCCACAAUGGACGCAAGUCUGAUGGAGCAACGCCGCGUGAGUGAAGAAGGUUUUCGGAUCGUAAAGCUCUGUUGUUGGUGAAGAAGGAUAGAGGUAGUAACUGGCCUUUAUUUGACGGUAAUCAACCAGAAAGUCACGGCUAACUACGUGCCAGCAGCCACGGUAAUCUGAGCGGGCUGGCAAGGC
rnacentral:rRNA from 1 species